rnacentral:rRNA from 1 species
GUCGAGGGGUAUAGGUUUUCGGACCUAGAGACCGGCGCACGGGUGCGUAACGCGUAUGCAAUCUACCUUUUACAGAGGGAUAGCCCAGAGAAAUUUGGAUUAAUACCUCAUAGUAUAAUGACUCGGCCUCGAGAUAUUAUUAAAGUCACAACGGUAAAAGAUGAGCAUGCGUCCCAUUAGCUUGUUGGUAAGGUAACGGCUUACCAAGGCAACGAUGGGUAGGGGUCCUGAGAGGGAGAUCCCCCACACUGGUACUGAGACACGGACCAGACUCCUACGGGAGGCAGCAGUGAGGAAUAUUGGUCAAUGGGCGCAAGCCUGAACCAGCCAUGCCGCGUGCAGGAUGAACCAUCUAUGGUGUGUAAACUGCUUUUG